rnacentral:rRNA from 1 species
CCUACGGGAGGCAGCAGUGGGGGAUAUUGGACAAUGGGGGGAACCCUGAUCCAGCGACGCCGCGUGAGUGAAGAAGUAUCUCGGUAUGUAAAGCUCUAUUAGCAGGGAAGAAGAAAUGACGGUACCUGAGUAAGAAGCCCUGGCUAACUACGUGCCAGCAGCCGCGGUAAUACGUAGGGGGCAAGCGUUAUCCGGAAUUACUGGGUGUAAAGGGAGCGUAGACGGUGAUGUAAGUCUGGAGUGAAAGGCGGGGGCCCAACCCCCGGACUGAACGGGAAACUAGGUGGCUGGAGUGCAGGAGAGGUAGGCGGAAUUCCUAGUGUAGCGGUGAAAUGCGUAGAUAUUAGGAGGAACACCAGUGGCGAAGGCGGCUCGCUGGACUGUAACUGACGUUGAGGCUCGAAAGCGUGGGGAGCGAACAGGAUUAGAUACCCUAGUAGUC